GACGAACGCUUGCGGCGUGCCUAAGAAAUGCAAGUCGAACGAGUUCAGCCCCUCGGGGCGAAAACUAGUGGCGAACGGUCGAGUAACACGUGAGCAACCUGCCUCAAAGCGGGGGAUAGCCCACCGAAAGGUGGAUUAAUACCGCAUGUGGCCGUCCCGGGGCAUCCCGGGGCGAUUAAAGCAGCAAUGCGCUUUGAGAUGGGCUCGCGGCCUAUCAGCUUGUUGGUGGGGUAAUGGCCUACCAAGGCGACGACGGGUAGCUGGUCUGAGAGGAUGGUCAGCCGGAUUGGGACUGAGAUACGGCCCAGACUCCUACGGGGGGCAGCAAUUAGGAAUCUUGCGCAAUGGGCAAAGCCUGACGCAGCGACGCCGCGUGACUGAUGAAGUCCUCGGA
rnacentral:rRNA from 1 species